AUGAUAGGUAUUUUUUGGAACAUUAGAGGGCUGAAUGGCCCCAUUAAAGUUGACAAAUUGAAAGAGCUCAUUAGAGCCAAUAGUCCUGAUUUUAUUUGUAUUUCUGAGACCAAGAAAGAAGAAUUUACUCUUCUUCAUCUUGAAGCUUUUGAUCCCAGAUCUGAUUUCCAAUGGAAAUGGCUCCCUGCAAUUAACACCACGGGAGGGAUUUUGAUUGGAUGUAAAGUGGAUCUAUUUGACUUAAUACAAUGUGAUUUGCACAAUUUCAGUAUUUCUUGCUUGCUCAAAAACAAACAGGAUCUCUCUGUUUGGAGGCUUGUUUCUGUCUAUGGUUCUGCCUAUGACCAGUCUAAAAUGGAUUUCAUUAAUGAACUCCACAACCUACUGACUGACUGGACAGGGCCCACCCUGGUGGGUGGUGAUUUCAAUCUUAUUAGAGAGGCUAGUGAUAAAAACAUUGGUGUUAUUAAUCAACACUGGGCUGACCUCUUUAAUGACUGGAUUAAUAGAUAUGGGCUAUUAUAG
rnacentral:rRNA from 1 species